rnacentral:rRNA from 1 species
AGCUCCAAGAGUGUAUAUUAAAGUUGUUGCGGUUAAAAAGCUCGUAGUUGGACUUUGGGUUGGAGUGCAGAGUCCCCGGCGGCAUCGUCGUCGGGAUAAAGGCUUUGUUUUUCCUUCCUUCUUCUUGGGACGCAAAACGCCGGGCGACCGGCGGUUCCACAGGGUUUACUUUGAAUAAAUUAGGGUGUUCAAAGCAGGCGAAUCGCCUUGAAUACAUUAGCAUGGGAUAAUGAAAGAUGACCUUUGGUCUGUACUUUAUUGGUUUCUGGGGCCGAGGUAAUGAUUAACAGGGACAGUUGGGGUCGCUUGUAUUCAGUGGUCAGAGGUGAAAUUCUAGGACCCACUGAGGACAAACAAAUGCGAAGGCAUUCGACAAGGAUGUUUUCA